rnacentral:rRNA from 1 species
UACGUAGGGUGCGAGCGUUGUCCGGAAUUAUUGGGCGUAAAGAGCUCGUAGGCGGCUUGUCGCGUCGGCUGUGAAAACCCGGGGCUCAAACCCCCGGGGCCUGCAGUCGAUACGGGCAGGCUAGAGUCCGGCAGGGGAGACUGGAAUUCCUGGUGUAGCGGUGAAAUGCGCAGAUAUCAGGAGGAACACCAGUGGCGAAGGCGGCUUUCUGGACGGUAACUGACGCUGAGACGCGAAAGCGUGGGGGAGCAAAACAGG